CCAGAUGUUUUUUUUGAAGCAACCGCUGCGGAUAAAACGGCCGUAUCGCCAUAACGAACCAAGACAGCUCCAUUAGCUUGUUUAGCCAUUUGCCCAACUUCAAUAGUUAAAGGACGGCCCCCCCAAGUCGUUUGAAAAAUUUGUUUAUUUGACAUAAAUAUACUCCUUUAAAUAAUGUACCUGUCUACUCGA
rnacentral:ncRNA from 1 species